rnacentral:rRNA from 1 species
UACGUAGGGUGCGAGCGUUGUCCGGAAUUAUUGGGCGUAAAGCGCGCGCAGGCGGUCUUCCAAGUCAGUGGUGAAAGCCCGGAGCUCAACUCCGGAACUGCCAUUGAAACUGUUAGACUUGAGGACGAGAGAGGUGAGUGGAAUUCCCAGUGUAGAGGUGAAAUUCGUAGAUAUUGGGAAGAACACCGGUGGCGAAGGCGGCUCACUGGCUCGUAUCUGACGCUCAGGCGCGACAGCGUGGGGAUCGAAACAGG